rnacentral:ncRNA from 1 species
UAUAUAUAUAUAUAUAUAUAUAGUGGAUGGUGGAUGGUUGUUCUUAGUUGGUGGAGCGAUUUGUCUGGUUAAUUCCGAUAACGAACGAGACUCUAGCCUAUUAAAAAGGUGCGUGGUUCUCCGUUGCUUGAAUCCUUCUUAGAGGGACAAACGGCUCCUAGCCGCACGAAACGGAACGAUAAUAGGUCUGCGAUGCCCUUAGGUAUCCGGGGCCGCACGCGCGCUACGCUGAACGAAGCAGCGUGUUUUUAUCCCUCUCUGUAAAGACUGGGUAACCCGUGGAACCUCCUUUGUGAUUGGGACUUGCAAUUGUUACCCUUGAACGAGGAAUUUCCAGUAAGCGCGAGUCAUGAGCUCGCGUUGAUUACGUCCCUGUCCUUUGAACACACCGCCCGUCGCUACUACCGAUUGAAUGAUUUAGUGAGGUCUUCGGACCGAUACCCGGAGCGGCCUUUUGGUGCGCCGGUCUGUUAGAAAGAUGACCAAACGUGAUCAUUUAGAGGAACUAAAAGUCGUAUAUGUAUGGCAAGACUUUCUUAUAGUUUCGAUUAUGC